AACGAACCCCUGUAACUGGGGCACAUUUAUUUUAGUUUUUCAUCUGUUCAUUGUUUAUAUACACUUAUCCUUGCAAGAUAAGCCUUUCUCCACGGCCCAUGGACUGGCAACCUGCACCCUGGACAGCUCCUCGGUCCUGUUUGUCCUGCUCAUGGUGUGGAAGGGUCAUGACCUCCGAAGAUACACUCAGACCUGCCAUACUGCUGGGAGGUCAACUUGAGGAUCUGAAGACAAAAGAGGCAAAGGCAUGCCAGUCAACACGGUGAUGAGACAUUAGGAGUGAUGAGAAGCUCGUCUAUAUGCCUCCGAGGUGGGCUCUGUUCUGCAAACUGGAAAACGGUUAUGAAUAUAAACGUCUUUUCCCAUAUGAGGUAAAGAGAG